UGGCAAGUCUCAUACGACCAGCUCCUACUGAAACCCCCAGGUCGGGAACGGAGCAAGGGUAGGUGGUUGUAGCGGUGCGAUAUGAGUAGCUUGCCAUUU
rnacentral:SRP_RNA from 1 species